GCGGUUCCGGUGUUCAGGAUGCCAGGGAUGAUGGGAAGCCUGUUCUUGUUUAUCGGAAAACAUCUGAGCCCAUGAAUUGCCAGACCCUGGAUACCUGAGACACAUCCACUUGCUUCUCAGGUUUGGAGUGCAUAAUGAGGAGAAAUAAAAACAGAAAGAUCUCCAGAAAGAAGCCAUGGUAAGAUUCAAGGUUUCACAGUCCAAGCUAAUGCCUGUGGACACUUGACCAAGUGAUCUGAGAAAAUUGGAUUUCUGGCAAAACAAGUGUACCUAGACUCAGGCAAGGGUGGAGAACAGAGGGCGACUAGAUUAAAUGGAAAGAAUGCCCAGGCAUCCCAUUGCCUCCCUUUGACGUUCCAGAACUUCAUCAAGACAGUGAUGAGCUACAUGUACACCUGGAGGAGGACCAUGCAGAAUACCAUCCAGCGCCAUGAACACUAGUCAGUCAGUCAGUAAUGGUGGGCUUCUUGGUGUGCUCCAGCUCAAUUUUCUCAUGUUUGAUGAUUAGUUCAGGAUCAAGCUCAGAAGCGCACAGCUGCCAGCAAGCAGUCUACUACUGAACUGCACCAUCUCUCCAGCCUGUGCUUACUCUUGAAUAGCCCCAAAGUAGUCAAUGGGCUAUUUGGUACUGGACAACCAAUUGGAGUGUUGUUUGCGGGGGAGGACCACCUCUCCAGGUAGAAUCUAAACAUCAGAAAAUCAACAACCCAGUUAAAAUAAUCUAGAGCACUAACCAGAGCGUUCUCAGAAGAAGCACUACAAACGGCUAAGAAACACGAGACUGCUCAACAUCCUUUGCCAUCAGGGAAACACAGAAGCUCACUUUUCAGUUUUCAUCUUUCUGGAGUCAGAAUGGUUAUCGUCAAGAAUGCCAGUGACAUGGAUGUAGAGGACGGAUUCCUUCAUUGUCUAAGUCUCUGGAAAUAGUGCAGAAGAGUAGUCAGGGACUAAAAGAUGGAAGACAGAAAGGGCUGCAAAGUUCCAUCCUAGAGACUCAAUACAGCCAUUGCAAUGAUGAACUCACAAAAACUGCAUUUACCUGAACUUAGCCUGCUCAAGACAUUGAAAGUGUUUCAAAGUAGCUUUUCCUGUUGUGAAUGUACCUCUCAGCUAGUCUGGUUUCUGGUUCAGAGCUCUUAGGCACAGAGUUGUCUUGAACAUUUGCUUACAGGCACUUGUGUAGAUAUCAGCUGCUUUUUUUUGUUAAAUCUCUGAAAUAAAUGCCUAGGCGUUCAAUGGCAAUGUUAUAUCAGUAUGUAUUUAGCUUAGUUUUAAAAUAAGAAACUGUCAAAUACUUUUGUAGAAUUACUGGACCAUUUUACACCCCUGCCAACAAAGUAAGAUUGAUCCAGCUCCCCACAUUCUCAUAAACAUUUGUUUUUGUUUCUUUAAGAAGACAAGUUAACCAUUCCAUUUAUUGAGAAUUUACUUACCAUUCAGUGCAUUGCUUAGAUAUGUAGUAUUCAGUUUUUAGUACACAUACAAGGUUGUGUAUCGAUUACUACUAAUUCCAGAACAUUUCCAUUACCAUAGAAAAAGAAACCCAAUAUUCAUUUUCAUCUCUCCUCUAUGGACUUACCUAAUCUAGAUAUACCAAAUAAAUGGAAUUUUU
rnacentral:lncRNA from 1 species